AAAGGGGAGCUUGAUCAAGGCUGAGAGUAAGUGACGACUUAGACCCAUUGACCUGAUUUGGAUAAUGCCAACGUAGGAAAUGUAU
rnacentral:ncRNA from 1 species